GGUUAAGUUAGAAAGGGCGCACGGUGAAUGCCUUGGCACUAGGAGCCGAUGAAGGACGGGACUAACACCGAUAUGCUUCGGGGAGCUGUAAGUGAGCUUUGAUCCGGAGAUUUCCGAAUGGGGAAACCCACUGUUCGUAAUGGAACAGUAUCUUUAUCUGAAUACAUAGGAUAUUGAAGGCAGACCCGGGGAACUGAAACAUCUAAGUACCCGGAGGAAGAGAAAGCAAAUGCGAUUUCCUGAGUAGCGGCGAGCGAAACGGAAUUAGCCCAAACCAAGAGGCUUGCCUCUUGGGGUUGUAGGACACUCUAUACGGAGUUACAAAGGAACGAAGUAAAUGAAGCGACCUGGAAAGGUCCGUCGAAGAAGGUAACAACCCUGUAGUUGAAACUUCGUUCCCUCUUGAGUGGAUCCUGAGUACGGCGGAACACGUGAAAUUCCGUCGGAAGCUGGGAGGACCAUCUCCCAAGGCUAAAUACUACCUAGUGACCGAUAGUGAACCAGUACCGUGAGGGAAAGGUGAAAAGCACCCCGGAAGGGGAGUGAAAGAGAUCCUGAAACCGUGUGCCUACAAGUAGUCAGAGCCCGUUAACGGGUGAUGGCGUGCCUUUUGUAGAAUGAACCGGCGAGUUACGAUCCCAUGCAAGGUUAAGCUGAUAAGGCGGAGCCGUAGCGAAAGCGAGUCUGAAUAGGGCGUUUAGUAUGUGGUUGUAGACCCGAAACCAGGUGAUCUACCCAUGUCCAGGGUGAAGUUCAGGUAACACUGAAUGGAGGCCCGAACCCACGCACGUUGAAAAGUGCGGGGAUGAGGUGUGGGUAGCGGAGAAAUUCCAAUCGAACCUGGAGAUAGCUGGUUCUCUCCGAAAUAGCUUUAGGGCUAGCCUCAUGUUGUGAGAGUCUUGGAGGUAGAGCACUGAUUGGACUAGGGGCCCCAACGGGUUACCGAAUUCAGUCAAACUCCGAAUGCCAAAGACUUAUCCAUGGGAGUCAGACUGCGAGUGAUAAGAUCCGUAGUCAAAAGGGAAACAGCCCAGACCACCAGCUAAGGUCCCCAAGUAUACGUUAAGUGGAAAAGGAUGUGGAGUUGCUUAGACAACCAGGAUGUUGGCUUAGAAGCAGCCACCAUUUAAAGAGUGCGUAAUAGCUCACUGGUCGAGUGACUCUGCGCCGAAAAUGUACCGGGGCUAAACGUAUCACCGAAGCUGUGGAUUGACAUCUUAGAUGUCAGUGGUAGGAGAGCGUUCUAAGUGCUGUGAAGUCAGACCGUAAGGACUGGUGGAGCGCUUAGAAGUGAGAAUGCCGGUAUGAGUAGCGAAAGACAAGUGAGAAUCUUGUCCACCGAAUGCCUAAGGUUUCCUGAGGAAGGCUCGUCCGCUCAGGGUUAGUCGGGACCUAAGCCGAGGCUGAAAAGCGUAGGCGAUGGCCAACAGGUUGAUAUUCCUGUACCACCUCCCCCGCCGUUUGAGUAAUGGGGGGACGCAGUAGGAUAGGGUAAGCGCGCUGCUGGAUAUGCGCGUUCAAGCAGUUAGGCUGAUGAGUAGGCAAAUCCGCUCAUCAUAAAGGCUGAGCUGUGAUGACGAGGGAAUUAUAGUACCGAAGUUCCUGAUUCCACACUGCCAAGAAAAGCCUCUAGCGAGGCGGGAGGUGCCCGUACCGCAAACCGACACAGGUAGGCGAGGAGAGAAUCCUAAGGUGAUCGAGAGAACUCUCGUUAAGGAACUCGGCAAAAUGACCCCGUAACUUCGGGAGAAGGGGUGCUCUGGUAGGGUGUAUAGCCCGAGAGAGCCGCAGUGAAUAGGCCCAGGCGACUGUUUAGCAAAAACACAGGUCUCUGCGAAGCCGCAAGGCGAAGUAUAGGGGCUGACGCCUGCCCGGUGCUGGAAGGUUAAGAGGAGGGGGUUAUCCUUUGGGAGAAGCUCUGAAUCGAAGCCCCAGUAAACGGCGGCCGUAACUAUAACGGUCCUAAGGUAGCGAAAUUCCUUGUCGGGUAAGUUCCGACCCGCACGAAAGGCGUAACGAUCUGGGCACUGUCUCAACGAGAGACUCGGUGAAAUUAUAGUACCUGUGAAGAUGCAGGUUACCCGCGACAGGACGGAAAGACCCCGUGGAGCUUUACUGUAGCCUGAUAUUGAAUUUUGGUACAGCUUGUACAGGAUAGGUAGGAGCCUGAGAAGCCGGAGCGCUAGCUUCGGUGGAGGCGUCGGUGGGAUACUACCCUGGCUGUAUUGAAAUUCUAACCCGCGGCCCUGAUCGGGCCGGGAGACAGUGUCAGGUGGGCAGUUUGACUGGGGCGGUCGCCUCCUAAAAUGUAACGGAGGCGCCCAAAGGUUCCCUCAGAAUGGUUGGAAAUCAUUCGUAGAGUGUAAAGGCACAAGGGAGCUUGACUGCGAGACCUACAAGUCGAGCAGGGACGAAAGUCGGGCUUAGUGAUCCGGUGGUUCCGCAUGGAAGGGCCAUCGCUCAACGGAUAAAAGCUACCCGGGGAUAACAGGCUUAUCUCCCCCAAGAGUCCACAUCGACGGGGAGGUUUGGCACCUCGAUGUCGGCUCAUCGCAUCCUGGGGCUGUAGUCGGUCCCAAGGGUUGGGCUGUUCGCCCAUUAAAGCGGUACGCGAGCUGGGUUCAGAACGUCGUGAGACAGUUCGGUCCCUAUCCGUCGUGGGCGUAGGAAAUUUGAGAGGAGCUGUCCUUAGUACGAGAGGACCGGGAUGGACACACCGCUGGUGUACCAGUUGUCUUGCCAAAGGCAUCGCUGGGUAGCUAUGUGUGGACGGGAUAAGUGCUGAAAGCAUCUAAGCAUGAAGCCCCCCUCAAGAUGAGAUUUCCCAUAGCGCAAGCUAGUAAGAUCCCUGAAAGAUGAUCAGGUUGAUAGGUCAGAGGUGGAAGCGUGGCGACAUGUGUAGCUGACUGAUACUAAUCGAUCGAGGACUUAACCAA
rnacentral:rRNA from 1 species